UGUGUAGGCGGUGCUCUAAGUUUGGUGUGAAAUCUCCCGGCUUAACUGGGAGGGUGCGCCGAAAACUGGAGUGCUCGAGUAUGGGAGAGGUAAGCGGAAUUCCUGGUGUAGCGGUGAAAUGCGUAGAUAUCAGGAGGAACACCUGUAGUGUAGACAGCUUACUGGACCAUCACUGACGCUGAGACACGAAAGCGUGGGUAGCAAACA
rnacentral:rRNA from 1 species